GGGCUCUCUUUGCAGCAUGUAUGCUAAAAUUGGAAUGGCACAGAGAAGAUCAGCCUGGCCCCUGUGCGAGGAUGACCCCCAAAUCCAUGAAGCCUUCCGUAGUUUU
ensembl:snRNA U6 U6 spliceosomal RNA